GGGGUUAGUGGCGCACGGGUGCGUAACGCGUGGGAAUCUGCCCCUUGGUUCGGAAUAACAGUUAGAAAUGACUGCUAAUACCGGAUGAUGUCUUCGGACCAAAGAUUUAUCGCCAAGGGAUGAGCCCGCGUAGGAUUAGGUAGUUGGUGGGGUAAAGGCCUACCAAGCCGACGAUCCUUAGCUGGUCUGAGAGGAUGAUCAGCCACACUGGGACUGAGACACGGCCCAGACUCCUACGGGAGGCAGCAGUGGGGAAUAUUGGACAAUGGGCGAAAGCCUGAUCCAGCAAUGCCGCGUGAGUGAUGAAGGCCUUAGGGUCGUAAAGCUCUUUUACCAGGGAUGAUAAUGACAGUACCUGGAGAAUAAGCUCCGGCUAACUCCGUGCCAGCCGCCGCGGUAA
rnacentral:rRNA from 1 species